rnacentral:tRNA from 1 species
GCCCCGGUAGCUCAGUGGUAGAGCAACCGGCUGUUAACCGGGAGGUCGUGGGUUCAAAUCCCACCCGGGGCG